CCCGCGACCACUCCUCUCUCUCACUUGACUCACAACCUCCACGACCUAAGGCAAACGGCGGCAUUUCUUGCAGCUUUCAGAGCGGCAAUCGAAGGCCACUCUGGCGGUGCGAAUGAAAUCACGAUCGGUAGCUAUCCGGCGGUGCGAACAGUACUUCAGUAGUUUCUGGCGAGUAGAUUCCAGAUCGAAACAGCGACGAACAGCGAUACGAACGAGGCUUGAUUCUUCAGCAGGUUCGGAUGACAUGCGAGGAGAUUCCAGAUCUGAACGGCGGCGAGAGGAGAGAACUACCCAGAUUUGAACGACCGUGAAAGUCGAUUCUUCAGUAGCUUCCGACGACGGGUGAGAACAACCAAGAUCUGAACGGUGGCGACCCUACGAUGUAAAGUUGAGGCAAGCUCCAGCAACUAGAUUUGAUUCUUACACAAAGCACUGCUUCCUGAUUUCGUCGACGACGAGCAAAUCUGUUGCUUCUUUGGCUUAGUGCACAAGUGGAAAUUUGUUGAUAUCUGGAUAUGAGGAUGGAGCAACCAGAGUUUGGGAUACCAGGACCAAUAAUAUCAUUUGUGUUCUUAAACAUCCAAAAGAUAAAUUCUACUUUUCCUUAAGAAAGCAUCAUUCACUAUUAUCUCCGCCCUUGCAAAAUUUGAAAAUUCAAAGGACGGGGAUGAAGACACCAGUCAUUGGUUUAUCAGGAGAAUUUAUGGAUUCUUCCCCCCUUACUUUUCACGUAAUGGAGAACUAAAUUGCAGAGCUUCAGAUUCAUGCAGCUGGAAUUGUCGAGUAUGGUGAAAUCAACCAUGAAGCUGUUGCAAAGGUUGUAGAGGUAACCUUGCGGUUCUUUUUUCGGUUUGAUUUCUUAAAGUAGCUUUGUCCAUAAUCUUUAGUGCUUGAUUAUCUCCUUUAUGUAGGGAUUUAAUGCAAGCAGGUAAUAGAUUUAGAGCAAUGGAAGUGGGUGAUAGAUUUAGAGCCAUGUAAGCUUCAUGUCCUUAGUUCUGGUUGGUAUUUUGUUCAAGUGAUGUAUACUUUCAUUAACUAAAAAGCAUGUGUUACAUAUAUAUUACUACAUUUUGU